AGUAAGGCUUUUUUAAAAGCCCUUUCUCUGUAUAAAAAAUGAUAUG
rfam:Xenopus laevis strain J chromosome 3S, whole genome shotgun sequence.